rnacentral:lncRNA from 10 species
GUCCAACUUCAGUUCUUGGAACCCCUCCUCCGUGCUAAUACUGGGCUCCAGCCGACAGCAGUUACACCAACCUGAGCCUGGAGGCUACUCCUCCGUGACGUUUCUGUCCCGUGCUGCCCUGGUGGGGAGCAGAGACCGUGCCAAGGGCUCACUGGUGACAAAUCUCAGCCCUCUCCCCAAACCACCCCAGCACGCGUGUGCUCAUCACCGAGACAGCCCUCUCGCCCCUCCCCUUCCAGCCAGCCAGCCAGCCACCCACUCUUCCAGGCGAGAAUCCUGCAGCAGCUGCGCUCUCCCUCCUGGGUAGGACUCUUCUUUGAUGCGCCCUCCAGUGCCUGGCAACUAGGAGGCGCUCAGCAAAUGACCAUUUCCCACAAUCUUUUAUUAAGAAAAAUUCCAAACAUACAGAAAAGUUGAAAGAACAAGUACACUGUUCACUGAAAUACCAGCCACUGCAGAUUCAACAAUGAACAUUUUGGCCUUAUUUGCUUUGUGUAUUUUGGGGGGAACUAUUUGGAAUUAAAUUACACAUUUCUUGAAGGCAUUCACCUAUAUAAUCCAGCAUCUAUCUCCUAAGAAUGAGGACAUUUUCCCAUGAACUGCAGUACCGUUAAAUGGCUAUUAGAGGAAUGGUUGGUCUUUGUGAGGGUCUCACGUCCAGGAACCUCAUCAAAGUGUGCUAGGCCCUUAGCAGAGAGGGUAGAACCUGCUCGCCGGCUCCCUCACCUUCUCUCCCAUCCCAGAAAGGCAGAACAGGGGCAACACAGGAUUCUGGAGAGCUGUCCAGAUAGAGGAUCACAAACAUGAGCUCCACCUGGGAAACACAGACAGCCCCAAUCCCACCCCCACAACAAGAGCAGGCAACCUGGGUCCAAAUUCAGAGGACACCACAGCCGGCAGAGGGCUGCAGCAUGCCAGGUAGGACGGAAGUCGCUGGGGGUGGGGAUGAGCACCAGCCCCUAGAGCCUGGAAUAGCACCCGGGGUCAGGCAAGGAGAUCUCCUUCAGGGCUGGGCCCUGCCUCGCCAGCUUUGCUGGUGGAAUUAAAUAUAGCACAGGGAGACACAGUUGCCAGGCAGAAGCAGGAGGUGCUGUGAAUAGAACAGUGCCCUUUGUGGUGACAAAGCUAUGGGGAGCCUGCUGUGCAUGUGCCAAGACCUGCAGGGCAGCUCCCCCAGCCCCCACAGGGACCUCUGAGCUGCAUGGUUUUGUCCCCGCUUCACAUGUGAAAUAUCUGAAGUUCAGAUGAAGUCGUUUCCCCAAGAUCAUUCUGCCAAGUAGGAGAGCCUGAAUGCACAGUCUAGAGCCCACGUUCCUGCCACCGACUCACAACAGCCCCAAGGUCUUCACCCCAGACGGGUCCCGCGCUGAGACCCAGGCUCUGAACCACCGAGUCUUCUUUAGUGUUUCUCCGCUGGCCCUGGCUCACGUUUGCCCACUGGCCUGUUGUGAAUGCCCUUGCACAGAGUAGGUGCUUCUGGAAGCAUCUGAUGGAGGGUGACUGCGGAGCCAGGGGCCGUGGCAGCAGGGGGAUGGUCCAGCACAUCAGGCGGGCCUGAGAAGGGUCAGAGCAGAGAGGCGGUGGAGUCGUCUCCCUCUAGAGCUUUCCUUCGCUGGCUCUGCAGGAGGCUCUGGAAUGCUGCUCCGGGAGCCCGCUGGGCACGGGGACACAGGCCAGGCCUGCACUGCUGCUCCCUGCCCCGAGC